rnacentral:rRNA from 1 species
AGUGAACGCUGGCGGUAGGCCUAACACAUGCAAGUCGAACGGCAGCACAGUAAGAGCUUGCUAUUACGGGUGGAGAGUGGCGGACGGGAGAGGAAUACAUCGGAAUCUACUUUUUAGUGGGGGAUAACGUAGGGAAACUUACGCUAAUACCGCAUACGAACUACGGGUGAAAGCAGGGGAUCUUCGGACCUUGCGCGAUUGAAUGAGCCGAUGUCGGAUUAGCUAGUUGGCGGGGUAAAGGCCCACCAAGGCGACGAUCCGUAGCUGGUCUGAGAGGAUGAUCAGCCACACUGGAACUGAGACACGGUCCAGACUCCUACGGGAGGCAGCAGUGGGGAAUAUUGGACAAUGGGCGCAAGCCUGAUCCAGCCAUGCCGCGUGGGUGAAGAAGGCCUUCGGGUUGUAAAGCCCUUUUGUUGGGAAAGAAAAGCAGCAGGUUAAUACCCCGCUGUUCUGACGGUACCCAAAGAAUAAGCACCGGCUAACUUCGUG